UCGCUGCCGGUAAUAUCGUUACUACUGUAUAGUUUAGUAUUUCAACGCGUCGCAUUACUGCGCGUCUACUGGCCGAGACAGUGGUGUGGAAUUUGUGCAUGUCAAAAUAACUCUUCGAAUCUUAUAAACGUGACUCAAGUGCUUCCUAGAGCAAUGAUUCGAGAGCUGGAGGUUAUAAAGCUUUCAUUUGCGGGAGGAAGGUGAAAACAGCGUCAGUUCACAGAGAAACGACUGGAAGUAUCGGCAUCCAUCGACGAGAUGUCAGCACACGCAUUUCUCGGUAACGGCGGACCUCUUCAUCGUGCUCUCAUUUUUAUGCUUAAACUAGGCUGGGCAUCACGAUUUCGACUUCCUGCACUCAUUGUGGUAGCGUUUGUCGCCAUGGAUAUGAGAAUUCAAGUGCAAAUUGACAUGGACAUUGGUAAUCGUGAUGAAAAUCAUCAAAAUGAUUAAGAUAUGGAAAACAAAGAAUAGAAAAACGCAAUUAGGAUAGGAGAGUAGGAGAAAGAUGAAUUAUUUUUUAAGUCCUGUAUAAUAGCAGUAAUGAUACUCGAUUUAGAUUAAGUAUAUGUUUAUCUCGGUUAUUAUAACUAUUUUUCUGGAUAUCUACACUACUCAAAUAAAGAAAGUACAUAUCCCACACUGGGCGUUUUCAGGCGAUAAUAACUUUAAAUUUGUUGUCGAACCACGUAUAAUCGUGAUUCAAGUCAAACGUUUUCUUUCCUGCUGACGAGUAUGUGGUAAUCAAAUAUUUCAGCAAAAAAGAAACCUUCAACUUGAAACAUAGUAAAUCUGAUUCGAAAAUAUUCAAACUACCGUCACCUGAAAUCGUCCGUUCUGAUCAACACAUUAUGUUUAAUCAUUAGAUUCGUUCUCAGCAUAAGAGUUGUUUUACUGUUAAGAAAUAUGAUAUACAACUCUAAUAAAAUGUUGAAGGAAAUCGCCCAUUUUUAUAAUUUAUACAUAUAAAUUAUGAGUUUUUUGCUAUACGGGUCUCAAAAUUCUUGCACAAUCUGACAUGUUAUUUGCUUUGACCAUCUUCGUUAGAGACCCGUUACAAAGUUCCAUAAACUAAUACUCGAUAAGGAAUCACCUAAAGUUUUAUUAAUUAUUAAAUGAUCAUUAAAUCAUAACUAAA